UGGAGGGCAAGUCUGGUGCCAGCAGCCGCGGUAAUUCCAGCUCCAAUAGCGUAUAUUAAAGUUGUUGCAGUUAAAAAGCUCGUAGUUGGAUUUCUGUUAAUAAUUUAUAUAAAAUAUUUUGAUGAAUAUUUAUAUAAUAUUAACAUAAUUCAUAUUACUAUAUAUUUUAGUAUAUGAAAUUUUACUUUGAGAAAAUUAGAGUGCUUAAAGCAGGCAUAUGCCUUGAAUACUCCAGCAUGGAAUAAUAUUAAAGAUUUUUAUCUUUYUUAUUGGUUCUAAGAUAAGAAUAAUGAUUAAUAGGGACAGUUGGGGGCAUUUGUAUUUAACAGUCAGAGGUGAAAUUCUUAGAUUUGUUAAAGACAAACUAAUGCGAAAGCAUUUGCCAAGGAUGUUUUCAUUAAUCAAGAACGAAAGUUAGGGGAUCGAAGACGAUCAG
rnacentral:rRNA from 1 species